GGGGAGAUUCCCGGAAACGAAAGUUUUUCGGUUUCGGGGGAAGUAUGGUUGCAAAGCUGAAACUUAAAGGAAUUGACGGAAGGGCACCACCAGGAGUGGAGCUUGCGGCUUAAUUUGACUCAACACGGGAAAUCUCACCCGGCCAGUACAUCGUGAGGAUUGACAGACUGACAGCUCUUUCGUGAUUCGGUGAAUGGUGGUGCAUGGCCGUUCUUAGUUCGUGGAUUGAUUUGUCUGGUUUAUUCCGAUAACGAGCGAGACUUUAACUAUUAAAUAGUGCAAUUGUUGCUUCGGCUGCGGUUGAUUCACUUCUUAAAGGAAUUUGUGGUUUCCAACCUCAAGAAAUUGAGCAAUAACAGGUCUGUGAUGCCCUUAGAUGUUCGGGGCCGCACGCGUGCUACAAUGGUGGUAACAGCGUGAUUGUCCUUUUCCGACAGGRAUUGGCAAACAGUUGAGAUAUUAUUAUGGCUGGAAUUGAGUGUUG
rnacentral:rRNA from 1 species